rnacentral:rRNA from 1 species
UUAAGCGACUAAGCGUACACGGUGGAUGCCCUGGCAGUCAGAGGCGAUGAAGGACGUGCUAAUCUGCGAAAAGCGCCGGCGAGGUGAUAUGAACCUUUGACCCGGCGAUGUCCGAAUGGGGAAACCCAGUGUGUUCCGACACACUAUCGUUAACUGAAUACAUAGGUUAACGAGGCGAACCGGGGGAACUGAAACAUCUAAGUACCCCGAGGAAAAGAAAUCAACCGAGAUUCCCCCAGUAGCGGCGAGCGAACGGGGAGCAGCCCGGAGUCUGAAUCAGCUUGUGUGUUAGUGGAACGGUCUGGAAAGUCCGACGGUACAGGGUGAUAGUCCCGUACACGAAAAAACACAUGCUGUGAACUCGAAGAGUAGGGCGGGACACGUGGUAUCCUGUCUGAAUAUGGGGGGACCAUCCUCCAAGGCUAAAUACUCCUGACUGACCGAUAGUGAACCAGUACCGUGAGGGAAAGGCGAAAAGAACCCCGGCGAGGGGAGUGAAAAAGAACCUGAAACCGUGUACGUACAAGCAGUGGGAGCCACCUUCGGGUGUGACUGCGUACCUUUUGUAUAAUGGGUCAGCGACUUAUAUUCUGUAGCAAGGUUAACCGUAUAGGGGAGCCGAAGGGAAACCGAGUCUUAACUGGGCGUUAAGUUGCAGGGUAUAGACCCGAAACCCGGUGAUCUAGCCAUGGGCAGGUUGAAGGUUGGGUAACACUAACUGGAGGACCGAACCGACUAAUGUUGAAAAAUUAGCGGAUGACCUGUGGCUGGGGGUGAAAGGCCAAUCAAACCGGGAGAUAGCUGGUUCUCCCCGAAAGCUAUUUAGGUAGCGCCUCGUGAACUCAUCUUCGGGGGUAGAGCACUGUUUCGGCUAGGGGGCCAUCCCGGCUUACCAACCCGAUGCAAACUACGAAUACCGAAGAAUGUUAUCACGGGAGACACACGGCGGGUGCUAACGUCCGUCGUGAAGAGGGAAACAACCCAGACCGCCAGCUAAGGUCCCAAAGUCAUGGUUAAGUGGGAAACGAUGUGGGAAGGCACAGACAGCCAGGAUGUUGGCUUAGAAGCAGCCAUCAUUUAAAGAAAGCGUAAUAGCUCACUGGUCGAGUCGGCCUGCGCGGAAGAUGUAACGGGGCUAAACCAUGCACCGAAGCUGCGGCAGCGACGCUUAUGCGUUGUUGGGUAGGGGAGCGUUCUGUAAGCCGUUGAAGGUGUGCUGUGAGGCAUGCUGGAGGUAUCAGAAGUGCGAAUGCUGACAUAAGUAACGAUAAAGCGGGUGAAAAGCCCGCUCGCCGGAAGACCAAGGGUUCCUGUCCAACGUUAAUCGGGGCAGGGUGAGUCGACCCCUAAGGCGAGGCCGAAAGGCGUAGUCGAUGGGAAACAGGUUAAUAUUCCUGUACUUGGUGUUACUGCGAAGGGGGGACGGAGAAGGCUAUGUCAGCCGGGCGACGGUUGUCCCGGUUUAAGCAUGUAGGCGGAGGUUCCAGGUAAAUCCGGUACCUUGUUAACGCUGAGGUGUGAUGACGAGGCACUACGGUGCUGAAGUGAUAAAUGCCCUGCUUCCAGGAAAAGCCUCUAAGCAUCAGGUAACACGAAAUCGUACCCCAAACCGACACAGGUGGUCAGGUAGAGAAUACCAAGGCGCUUGAGAGAACUCGGGUGAAGGAACUAGGCAAAAUGGUGCCGUAACUUCGGGAGAAGGCACGCUGAUAUGUAGGUGAAGUCCCUGCGGACGGAGCUGAAAUCAGUCGAAGAUACCAGCUGGCUGCAACUGUUUAUUAAAAACACAGCACUGUGCAAACACGAAAGUGGACGUAUACGGUGUGACGCCUGCCCGGUGCCGGAAGGUUAAUUGAUGGGGUUAGCGGCAACGCGAAGCUCUUGAUCGAAGCCCCGGUAAACGGCGGCCGUAACUAUAACGGUCCUAAGGUAGCGAAAUUCCUUGUCGGGUAAGUUCCGACCUGCACGAAUGGCGUAAUGAUGGCCAGGCUGUCUCCACCCGAGACUCAGUGAAAUUGAACUCGCUGUGAAGAUGCAGUGUACCCGCGGCAAGACGGAAAGACCCCGUGAACCUUUACUAUAGCUUGACACUGAACACUGGUCCUUGAUGUGUAGGAUAGGUGGGAGGCUUUGAAGCGUGGACGCCAGUCUGCGUGGAGCCAUCCUUGAAAUACCACCCUUUAAUGGCUGGUGUUCUAACGUAGACCCGUAAUCCGGGUUGCGGACAGUGUCUGGUGGGUAGUUUGACUGGGGCGGUCUCCUCCCAAAGAGUAACGGAGGAGCACGAAGGUUGGCUAAUCCUGGUCGGACAUCAGGAGGUUAGUGCAAUGGCAUAAGCCAGCUUGACUGCGAGCGUGACGGCGCGAGCAGGUGCGAAAGCAGGUCAUAGUGAUCCGGUGGUUCUGAAUGGAAGGGCCAUCGCUCAACGGAUAAAAGGUACUCCGGGGAUAACAGGCUGAUACCGCCCAAGAGUUCAUAUCGACGGCGGUGUUUGGCACCUCGAUGUCGGCUCAUCACAUCCUGGGGCUGAAGUAGGUCCCAAGGGUAUGGCUGUUCGCCAUUUAAAGUGGUACGCGAGCUGGGUUUAGAACGUCGUGAGACAGUUCGGUCCCUAUCUGCCGUGGGCGCUGGAGAAUUGAGGGGGGCUGCUCCUAGUACGAGAGGACCGGAGUGGACGCAUCACUGGUGUUCGGGUUGUCAUGCCAAUGGCACUGCCCGGUAGCUAAAUGCGGAAGAGAUAAGUGCUGAAAGCAUCUAAGCACGAAACUUGCCCCGAGAUGAGUUCUCCCUGAGACCUUGAGUCUCCUGAAGGAACGUUGAAGACGACGACGUUGAUAGGUCGGGUGUGUAAGCGCAGCGAUGCGUUGAGCUAACCGAUACUAAUGAACCGUGAGGCUUAACCU